rnacentral:rRNA from 1 species
UGACCCCAGGUCAGGCGGGAUUACCCG